rnacentral:rRNA from 1 species
UCUCCAGACUCCUACGGGAGGCAGCAGUCGGGAAUAUUGCGCAAUGGAGGAAACUCUGACGCAGUGACGCCGCGUGCAGGAAGAAGGUUUUCGGAUUGUAAACUGCUUUAGACAGGGAGGAAAAAAGACAGUACCUGUAGAAUAAGCUCCGGCUAACUACGUGCCAGCAGCCGCGGUAAUACGUAGGGAGCAAGCGUUAUCCGGAUUUAUUGGGUGUAAAGGGUGCGUAGACGGGAAAACAAGUUAGUUGUGAAAUCCCUCAGCUUAACUGAGGAACUGCAACUAAAACUAUUUUUCUUGAGUGCUGGAGAGGAAAGUGGAAUUCCUAGUGUAGCGGUGAAAUGCAUAGAUAUCACGCAGAACUCCGAUUGCGAAGGCAGCAUACCGGCGCCCGACUGACGCUGAGGCACGAAAGCGUGGGUAUCGAACAGGAUUAGAUACCCGCGUA